AGGACGAACGCUGGCGGCGUGCUUAACACAUGCAAGUCGAACGGAAAGGCCCUUUCGGGGGUACUCGAGUGGCGAACGGGUGAGUAACACGUGGGUGAUCUGCCCUGCACUUUGGGAUAAGCCUGGGAAACUGGGUCUAAUACCGAAUACACCUUGCUGGCUGCAUGGCCUGGUGGGGGAAAGCUUUUGCGGUGUGGGAUGGGCCCGCGGCCUAUCAGCUUGUUGGUGGGGUGAUGGCCUACCAAGGCGACGACGGGUAGCCGGCCUGAGAGGGUGUCCGGCCACACUGGGACUGAGAUACGGCCCAGACUCCUACGGGAGGCAGCAGUGGGGAAUAUUGCACAAUGGGCGCAAGCCUGAUGCAGCGACGCCGCGUGAGGGAUGACGGCCUUCGGGUUGUAAACCUCUUUCAGUAUCGACGAGGCGCAAGUGACGGUAGGUACAGAAGAAGCACCGGCCAACUACGUGCCAGCAGCCGC
rnacentral:rRNA from 1 species